UACGAAGGGGGCUAGCGUUGCUCGGAAUUACUGGGCGUAAAGCGCACGUAGGCGGAUCUUUUAAGUCAGGGGUGAAAUCCUGGAGCUCAACUCCAGAACUGCCUUUGAUACUGAGGACCUUGAGUUCGGGAGAGGUGAGUGGAACUGCGAGUGUAGAGGUGAAAAUUGUAGAUAUUCGCAAAGAACACCCAGUGGCGAAGGCGGCUCACUGGCCCGAUACUG
rnacentral:rRNA from 1 species